ensembl:lncRNA
GGAGCAGAAAUGAAAUUUUUAAGAAUGAAAUAUAGUUGGUGUGAGUCAAGAAUUGUUGACAGGAAGGUAUAGUCCCCAUACCAUUUGAAGGAUCUCUGUCCAAUUUAAAGCAAGCAGAAAUGUUAUUCUAGAAUUUUUUUAAAUUAAAAUUUGGAUUCCAAUUUGUUUUGAUCUCUGAAGAAAUAUACAGUACAGUAGAAAUAGAGGAGUUUCUGAGAAGUUCAAGAUAAGGUUUCCAUGAAAAGAAACAAAAGAGUUCAAAUCUAAGUCCCAUUCUUUUCUAAUAUAGGCUCAUUGAUCACCUGUUAAAAAUAGAACUUUGACAAAGUAAGGUUUACUAGGAAACUGUAGAUGACAAUGAAGGAAAGAAAAGACAUAGAAAUUGGGAACCUAGAUGUAUUAUAUGAUAUCCAAUACAUAGAAAUAUAAAAGAUAGAUUUCUACCUAAUCUCAAGAGUAAAAAGGAAAACAAUCUUUUCUGAAAAGGAAGCAAGCAAAGAAAUGACAAACAUCCUUUCUCAAUGUAGGAGGCUAUCACUAAAUUAGAAAGUGACAGUGAUGGGAACCUGAAAUACCUGCUUAAGGACAUCAUUAUUAUUAUUAAAUCCUAUGCCUAGUUACACUGUACUUGGCAAGUCCUUAAUAUCUUUGCAAUGUUUAAGAGUCCUACAGAAUCAUCUUCUGAAUAUUUUUUUCUUUUAAAAUCCAAACCAUAACAAAACUAUCCUAAGAGCAAAGAGAAAAAUAUCAUCAUACUUUUCCAGAUAAUUCCUGCCAUCUUGAAAAAUCCCUGAAUGUCUUAAUUUAUUUUAUCUCACUUUGUCCAUAAAUGAGUGGCAAAUAUAGAGAAAUUUAACUCUUUGGGAGGAAAACAUGAUUAUUUGCUUGUGAUAAUAGAGUUAUCAAUGUUGAAAUUUAGCUACAAGUUGCAGGAAAAUUAUUCUUGCCAAAAGAGCCAUGGGUAAAUGGUUAGGCCUAAGCCAAUUAUUAUCUUUCAUUUUGAAAAAUUAUAUUUGUUAGAUGUAACGGAUUGCUGUUGAAUUUUAAUGGAUUACAGCAAUCCAUGUUGGAUUACUACUUCUAGUUACAAACCAGGUUUUCACUUCUUUGGGGAAGUAGAGAAAGAAGGUAAUCACUUGAUGUAUGCUCCAGAUAAACCUAAAUUGGAGUAAUGACUUAUUUUCACAUGAGCAACAUAUAAUAAGAAGCAGAAUGAUACAGUAGAAAAAAAUCUGUAUUUUUAGUCAAAGGAUAUGAGUUCAGACUUUGUCGUUUCCCUAUAGCACCUGCAUGACCUUGGGCAAACAAUUUAGUCUUCCUUCCAGGGUCUCAGGUGUUUCUUUUGUGAAAUAAGAGAAGUCGACUGGAUGAUCUCCCUUCUCUCAGUAACAAUAUGAUACAAUGAAAGGAACGAUAUGAGCCAUCUUCAUUAAUACAAAUUUCAAGCCCCUACAAUGAGGAGCACAAAAGUUGGAUGACUUGUUUAGCAUCCCUUAAUUAGUAAACAUCUGAGGAUUAGAACCUGUUUCCUUGGCUCCAAUUUACCACUCUGUUUACUAUCAUUCUGCCUCAAAAAUGAUAAUUUUGUAUCAAAUAAUACAAAUCUAGAAUUUGAUUCUUAAAACAACAGAAGAGAAGCUGGUUCUGUCAGAGAUGUGGUCACUAGGGACUAUAUAAGCUCUUACCUCCAAGUAAUUAGCUUCCUAACUAAUUCCCCACCUCCACAUACCUUAGUAGUCCCAGAAAAUCCCACUUUGCCUGAUGUGCAGAACUUUGCCUUUGGCCUCACCCUUUCUUUUAGUUUGCCUUCUUGAAUCAUGUUUCUGAAAAUUUGAACCUGACCUUUUGUUUAAUUUCCCCUCUGAUGUUUGCCCUUCUUCAUUCAAAUCCCACAUAAUAUCCCGGAGGCUUUCAGCACCCAGCCCCUGUCCCUCAACUUUAGAUUCUUC